CCUANGGGUGGCUGCAGUGAGGAAUCUUGCACAAUGGGCGAAAGCCUGACGCAGCGACGCCGCGUGAAGGAUGAAGGUCUUCGGAUUGUAAACUUCUGUCGAGUGGGACGAAUGCCGAGAGGGUGAAUACCCCUUUCGGUUGACGGUACCGCUGGAGGAAGCCCCGGCUAACUCCGUGCCAGCAGCCGCGGUAAUACGGAGGGGGCUAGCGUUGUUCGGAAUCAUUGGGCGUAAAGGGCGCGUAGGCGGCCGAUCAAGUCGGAGGUGAAAUCCCUUGGCUUAACCAAGGAAGGGCAUUUGAAACUGCCUGGCUUGAGUACGGGAGGGGAAAGCGGAAUUCCCGGUGUAGAGGUGAAAUUCGUAGAUAUCGGGAGGAACACCGGUGGCGAAGGCGGCUUUCUGGACCGAUACUGACGCUGAGACGCGAAAGCGUGGGGAGCAAACAGGAUUAGAUACCCCGNUANUC
rnacentral:rRNA from 1 species